rnacentral:lncRNA from 1 species
AAAUGAUAGUUUCUGGAUUUGACCAUAUUAAUGACUUAAGGCUCAUAUUUCUGUGUUUAUUAUAAUUAAGUCUAUGAUUUGAUAUUUGAUAGAGCAGUCUGCAGCAGGCUCGUAAGCAUUCAUUUAAACAGCAGCUCUUAGCAAUGCUGGGAUGCACAGCCCUGUUUAUGACUUCAAGCCUAUCAACUCCCAGAAUUAGGCUGGCAAUACUAAAGUGCCUGUAAGAACAUUCCAAUAGUCAAAGGUAUAUGGAAUACAAAUGGUAUAGAGAGAAAUAGACCUAUGAUUACUCUAAUAACUACAACCUAAAACUUCUUACCUGGGAAUAUUGAAGACUCAUGUUAAAAGGAACCACCAGCUUUCAUAUGUUCUCAUGUUCUGAGCGAGGAACUUAAACGUUAGCUUUUUUACAUGGCACAUAUUGCACUUUUACUUUCUUCUCCAACACUGUGUUUUUGCAUUAUUUAAACCAAAUUGAAAAUGCCUCAUUAUUUAUUUGAGACUAAAUUGAUUUUAGUUAUGUAUUAUAUUAAGUUAAAAUAAAAAAGUGUUCAUUGUUCAUUCAGUAGUGUUGUAAUUAUUACACAUAUAUAUAUAUAUAAAAAAAAAUACAUAAUUAUUAUUAUUUAUUUUUUAAUUCGUCCGAUUAGUCGGUAUUGGCUUUUUUUGGUCCUCCAAUAAAUCAGUAUCGGCGUUGAGAAAUCAUAAUCGGUCGACCUCUACAUUAAACAAAGCCUGUGUGUCCAUGUAUGCUGAUGAUUCAACCACAGACGCAUCAGCAACCACAGCUAAUGAAGUCACUGAAAACCUUAAAGAGUUGAGGUCUGUUUUGGAAUGGGUGGCCAGUAAUAAACUGGUCCUGAACAUCUCUAAAACUAAGAGCGUUGUAUUUGGUACAAAUCCUUCCUAGAGUUCUAGACCUCAGCUGAAUCUGGUAAUGAAUGGUGUGGCUGUUGAACAAGUUGAGGAGACUAAAUUACUUGGCGUUACCUUAGAUUGUAAACUCUAAUGGUCAAAACAUACAGAUUCAAUGGUUGUAAAGAUGGGGAGAGGUCUGGCCGUAAUAAAGGGAUGCUUUGCUUUUUUGACACCACACUGUAAAAAGCAGGUCCUGCAGGCUCUAGUUUUGUCUAAUCUUGAUUAUUGUCCAGUCGUGUGGUCCAGUGCUGCAAGGAAAGACCUAGUUAAGCUGCAGCUGGUCCAGAACAGAGCGGGACGUCUUGCUCGUCAUUGUAAUCAGAGGGCUGAUAUUAAUACUAUGGAUGCCAGUCUCUCUUGGCUAAGAGUUGAGGAAAGACUGACUGCAUCACUUCUUCUUAUAAGAAGUGUCUUUUGUCCUAUAUUUAUAUAUUUAAAAACAUUUACAUUUUUUUAUCCCAGGCCGUCAUUGUAAAUAAGAAUUAGUUUUUAAUUGACUUGCCUAGUUAAAUAAAAAAUAUAUAGAUUGUGUUAGAUCCCACAUUUUUUACAUUGUCAACUACACACAGAUCCGACACACACACUUACCCCACCAGACAUGCCACCAGGGGUCUUUUCACAGUCCCCAAAUACAGAACAAAUUCAAGAAAGCUUACUGUAUUAUUGUCAUUUAGCAGACACUCUUAUCCAUAGCGACUUACAGUAGUGAGUGCAAACAUUUUCAUAGUGAAAAUUAUGAAAUGGAUUAAUUUGCCCAAGUUAAUCAUAAGAUACGAACAAAAUGCAUCAGUGAUUGGAUCAGUGCAACUUCCUGAAAGAGCACAGGGCCCCUGUCUGUCUGUGUGUAGUGCUGCUCUGUAUGUCUGGUCUAUACUCUGUGUGUAGUGCUGCUCUGUGUGUAGUGCUGCUCUGUAUGUCUGGUCUACACUCUCUGUGUGUAGUGCUGCUCUGUAUGUCUGGUCUACACUCUGUGUGUAGUGCUGCUCUGUAUGUCUGGUCUACACUCUGUGUGUAGUGCUGCUCUGUAUGUCUGGUCUACACUCUCUGUGUGUAGUGCUGCUCUGUAUGUCUGGUCUACACUCUGUGUGUAGUGCUGCUCUGUAUGUCUGGUCUACACUCUCUGUGUGUAGUGCUGCUCUGUAUGUCUGGUCUACACUCUGUGUGUAGUGCUGCUCUGUAUGUCUGGUCUACACUCUUGUGUGUAGUGCUGCUCUGUAUGUCUGGUCUACACUCUGUGUAGUGCUGCUCUGUUUGUCUGGUCUACACUCUGUGUGAUGCUGCUCUAUAUGUCUGGUCUACACUCUGUGUAGUGCUGCUCUGUAUGUCUGGUCUACACUCUGUAUAGUGCUGCUCUGUGUGUAGUGCUGCUCUGUAUGUCUGGUCUACACUCUGUGUUGUGCUGCUCUGUAUGUCUGGUCUACACUCUGUGUGUAGUGCUGCUCUGUAUGUCUGGUCUACACUCUGUGUGUAGUGCUGCUCUGUGUGUAGUGCUGCUCUGUAUGUCUGGUCUACACUCUGUGUGUAGUGCUGCUCUGUAUGUCUGGUCUAUACUCUGUGUGUAGUGCUGCUCUGUAUGUCUGGACUACACUGUGUGUGUAGUGCUGAUCUGUAUGUCUGGUCUACACACUGUGUGUUGUGCUGCUCUGUAUGUCUGGUCUACACUCUGUGCAGCUGUUAGAGAUAAUGCUAAUGAUAACUGUCUUCUGGUAGAGGGAAAGACUUUCCCAAACCUCCUCUAUUAAAUUUUAACUACAAAGUAGCAUAUGCCUACCUGGCAGAAUUAUAGAGAUCAUUUGUUUUGAAAACUCUGCACCAUCACAGAAGCACUACAGAAACACUACUAACCAAACAACAGUGCUAGGUGUCUGUGCUACAGAAACACUGCUAACCAAACAACAGUGCUAGGUGUCUGUACUACAGAAACACCGCUAACCAAACAACAGUGCUAGGUGUCUGUGCUACAGAAACACUGCUAACCAAACAACAGUGCUAGGUGGCUGUGCUACAGAAACACUGCUAACCAAACAACAGUGCUAGGUGGCUGUGCUACAGAAACACUGCUAACCAAACAACAGUGCUAGGUGGCUGUGCUACAGAAACACCGCUAACCAAACAACAGUGCUAGGUGGCUGUACUACAGAAACACUGCUAACCAAACAACAGUGCUAGGUGGCUGUGCUACAGAAACACUGCUAACCAAACAACAGUGCUAGGUGGCUGUACUACAGAAACACUGCUAACCAAACAACAGUGCUAGGUGGCUGUGCUACAGAAACACUGCUAACCAAACAACAGUGCUAGGUGGCUGUGCUACAG